UAAUCUGUUUAUAGAAGCUCCGCAUCUAGUUGUGAUAUAUCUCUAUUUAACUGCUCAAAACUUUCAAUUUCGACUCAUUCGACUACAUCACAAUGAUAUUAGAAAAAAAAAACAAAUUUGAUCUCAAUAAUUUUUUUA
rnacentral:pre_miRNA from 1 species